rnacentral:lncRNA from 1 species
GAACAUUCGUCCUCGAAUGGUCCUAAAACAAAUAAAUAAACACAUAAAAAGGAGGAAACUAACCUCAAAACAUAUAUGGAUAUUGCUGGAGCAUGGACUCCCGCGUCUCCCAAGUGCAUUCUUCGAGAUUAUGGUGGUUCCACAGCACUUUCACCAUCGGAAUUUCCUUGUUCCUUAACUACAUGAUCUGUGUGUCCAGAAUCCGUACUGGCUGCUCCACAUAAGUGAGAUCUCUAAGAAUCUCCACAUCAGGCUCACUCAGAACCUGAUUCGGAUCUGACACAAACUGCCGUAGCAUAGAAACAUGAAAUACCGGGUGAAUUCUCUCCAUAGAAGCAGGUAAAUCCAGCUUAUACGACACAUUCCCGAUCCGCUGCAAGAUCUCAAAGGGUCCAAUGUAUCGUGG